rnacentral:rRNA from 1 species
UACGUAGGGUGCGAGCGUUGUCCGGAAUUACUGGGCGUAAAGAGCUCGUAGGUGGUUUGUCGCGUUGUUCGUGAAAUCCCACGGCUUAACUGUGGGCGUGCGGGCGAUACGGGCAGACUGGAGUACUGCAGGGGAGACUGGAAUUCCUGGUGUAGCGGUGGAAUGCGCAGAUAUCAGGAGGAACACCGGUGGCGAAGGCGGGUCUCUGGGCCGUAACUGACGCUGAGGAGCGAAAGCGUGGGGAGCGAACAGG